rfam:Streptococcus pneumoniae R6, complete genome.
AAUAUCGUGAGGUAGGGGGGAUAGGAAGGAAUUAGCGAAAUCAAGGUUCUACAAACAGAAUCGUGACUUGAAGCCAUAUAUAGCGGAUGAGGAACUCUAAAAUCCAAAUAGGUGUCGUAACCUAUAUACGUAAAUUACGAGAGUAAACUAGGAAAGAUGUACGGC